GGGGCUGUAGCUCAGUGGAAGAGCGCUUGCCUAGCAUGCAUGAGGCAAUGGGUUUGAUCCUCAGCACCA
rnacentral:tRNA from 1 species